rnacentral:lncRNA from 1 species
GGGGUCCACUGACGCGCACACUCUUUCCAGUUUCGCUCUUUGCAUUGUAGAGGGGGCCCUCCGGGAAACGGAGGGAAAUGGGCUGCGCCGGCCGAGGAGGUAGUGCAAGACCAAGGCGACGCGCGCUGGCCCGGGCAGCAAGCUGCCGGAUGGGCCCGCACCCGAGAUAAAUUAGAUUAAUAUCGUGAGGCUCGAUGAGCCUCGUAUCAGAUAUUAAACUGAUAAGAACAGAUACUACACUUGAUCUUAGCCAAAAGGCCGAGAAAGGUAUGCCUCUUCCCUCCCGCCCCGCCCUCCUUCUACCCCCACCUCCGCCCUCCCUCCUGCACACGCUAUGGGGCAUUCACCACCCACCCACUGCCACUUCAACAUAUCAACAUACUCGCCACACCACCAAAUCAAAGUCCCCGCCCUCCAAAUCAUCAUCGCCCCCAGGCUCUCUUGCAUUUUGCAACCACACAACACCAAAACAACCAUGCUGAAUACCGUGGUUUUCUUGGUUUGAAGACUGGAAAGGGUGGGGGCUCCACCGGUGCUACUACUCAUGGUCAAACAAAAUACCCCAAAAUAUGGGAAAGCGUGGCAUGUAGUUACCUAGGGUAUAUUCAUGUGAGUGUCUUUAUUUACAUAUUUUUUUACUUAUUUAUUUCAUUUUCGAUGGACGGAUGGACGGACGGACGGACGGACGGAUGGAUGGAUGGAUGGAUGGAUGGAUGGAUGGAUGGAUUGAUUGAUUGAUUGAUUGGUUGGUUGAUGCGUGCGUGCGUGUUUGGUUGGUUGGUUGGUUUAUUCUUUCUUCUUUCUUCUUCUUCUUCUUCUGCCUGUUCUUCUUCCAGUGAGCCAGUGAGUGUUGUAUGAUGUUGGUGAUGGUGCGGGUAUGGGGUUUGUGGGGGACAGGGAGCAAUGGGGUGGGUUUGAGGCGAGAUGUUGGUUGUAGCAGGGAGGGAGAGGGAGUGAGAAAUGGAGGUGGAGGCGUGGUGAGGGGGCGGGGGGAGAGCAGGAGAGCGAGGGUGGGUGAGAAUGUCCCACACGGGUUGGAGCGGCGGGGUGUGGGUGGGUGGUAGAAGCGUGCGGAGGAGCGAUGGGGAGGGCACUUACCUGGGCGGGGUCGAUCCAUGAUCAGGAAGGUGGAUGGCCUAGAGGAGCCCGGCCCAUUGCACUGACGGGGCGGGCGGCUCUAGUAUCUCUCUACGGAGGGCAUACACGUCGUAAUUUGUGGCAGUGGGGGCUCGCGUUCGCGCGGCCCCCGCCCAAAGCGUAAGCCGAAACCGGAGGAGACUAGGUGUGUGGGUGUGUUUCAAAGUUGUGAGUGUCCGAGAAAACCCCCGCAUUCUGCGAUGGCCGCCGCAUACACUCGCUCCUAUGAUUGACAAAGCGAGUGAGCGCAACAACGAACCGCGCGUGCGCCGCCGUCCCGAUCGAUGGUCCAGCGAACACUCGGGGCACAGCUGCUGUGGCAGUGAGCGUUGCUCCGCCGCCCUCCCCGAUCGAUGGUCCAGUGAACACUCGGGGCAGCUGCUGUGGGCAGUGAGCGUUGCUCCCGCGCGGGGUAAGAAGGGCGAUUCCACGCCCGAGUCGGAUCGGGUCACAACCUCCUCCCUCCGAGGCGCGAGCUGUGAGGGAGGAGGGGCGAUGGGCGUUGGAUUUUGCGAGGCGCACGUCUGACCCCGAUCUCUCUGACUGUGCCGAUGAGAGCGCAAAUGGGAUGAGGUUACGGCCUAGCGCACAGGCUGGUGGUGCAGCGAAGGGGAAGCACGCGAUGGCGGGUGAGGGGCGUGCCAAUGGCAGUUGCGCUGCACGGUGUGUCGCCUCCGGCAGCGGCGCCUGGUGACGAUUUAGUGGUGGGUCGGGGGCAGAUUGCCCCAUAGCGAUGGGAGGAGACGAGCCCCCGGGGGAGGUACAUGCGGGGGGAGGCGGGGAGGGAGACGACAUCUUUGCGCUUGGGGCAAUGACGCAGUUAGUGAGGCAAACCCGAGACGCGUCAAUUGCUGGUUGAAAACUAUUUCCAACCCCCCUGCGGUGCCCGCGAGGGCGCCCCAGAAUUUCUGGAAGGUCUGGCGUAGGCCGGGACCUCACAAAGCACAAACCCCAAACAGGAUGGCUCGGAGUGUGCGCAGCCCUGUGUCGCUCUCCCCUCGGAUCUGUGGUUUGCGUCGGCAGCGGCGGCGGGACCGUGGCCCCGCGCACUGCCGGGGAGUGCAGGUGGCACACAGCUCGGUGACGAGCCAAGUAGACGACGCCGUGAGCGCGCAGCCGUGUGGGUGGAACCGAGCGUGGGCCUGUGGUGCGUGGUCCGGGUGUGCUGCCGCCGGCGGACGCGGCGUUUGUAGUCCAACGGUUAGGAUAAUUGCCUUCCAAGCAAUGGACCCGGGUUCGACUCCCGGCAAACGCACGCACGCGCGCCCCUUUUCUCGCGGCAUGCCAUGCCCACGGAUGAUGUGUGGCCCGUCGCCAGCCCCUCCGCGGACCGCGAGUCGCCGCUUCUCUCCCACUCUCGGGU